GCGAGUAUAACUCUCUAAAACCAUCGGAACGAACUGAUACCAGUUGCUUCGGCGGCGCGGCUUCCUCCGGGACCUCAGCCCCGCCUCUCAGGAGUAAGGGCAGCCGCCGAGUACAACUCUGUAUUAUAGUGUAUCUCUGAGUACUAUCAAUAAGUUA
rnacentral:misc_RNA from 1 species